GGAGUCGGCCAGACAGUCGCGUCAUCGUCCCAGCAAUGGGCGGUGCCGAGGAAAGUCCGGGCUCCACAGGGCACGGUGCCAGGUAACGCCUGGGCGGCGCGAGCCGACGGAAAGUGCAACAGAAAGAUACCGCCGAUGGCCGGGCGUCCCUUCGGGGCGGUCCGGAUCAGGCAAGGGUGAAAUGGUGCGGUAAGAGCGCACCGCGAGUCGGGUAACCGACCGGCACGGCAAACCCCACCGGGAGCAAGGCCAAAUAGGGACCCCAUGACGUGGCCCGCGUCGGGUCCGGGUAGGCUGCUCGAGCGUAGCGGUGACGCUGCGCCCAGAGGAAUGACUGUCCACGACAGAACCCGGCUUAUCGGCCGGCUCCGCCG
rnacentral:RNase_P_RNA from 1 species